GCUGGAUCAGUUCCUGGUGGGGCUGGGUAUGGACCAGGUGGAGCUGGAUAUGGACCAGGAGGAGGAGCAGGUACAAGAACUGGAGGGUAUGAUGCCAAUGCCAAAGCCCGUAAAUAUGGUAUGUUAAGUGGAGCGCUUGGAGGCGGUCUUGGAGCAGGAACAGGUGGAACUGGAACAGGAUAUGGACCCGGGGGUGGAACAGGAACUGGUUCUGCUGGCACUGGAACUGGCCUUGGACCAGGAAGUGGAGGGGCAGGCUAUGGACCUGGUCGAGGGGCAGGAG